rnacentral:lncRNA from 1 species
GGACGAAGUCUGUAUGUAUUAUUUUUUUAAUUCAAUCGCGUUGAUAAAAGAAACCGAAAUACCGUACGUAACGUUCCCGAUUUUGAUUCUGUUGUUAGGGAAUUAGCUGUGACGUUCUUUAAGUUAUGACGUCAUAUUCGAUGUAAACAAAAGAAACGCUUUCAUCAGGUAACGUUUUUUCAUAUCAAACAAUUAUUAAAAUUGAAUUUGUAUUGAGAUCCAAUCUUAUAUUUUACUAGACUGAUAAAUAUAAUUUUUUUCAAAGUCUCAUGCAAACAAGACAGAUAUCUGCGCAAAAGCGGAAAAAACCGGAACAGGAA